UGAAAGGAAGCCUCAGCUUUGCCCUUCUGACUGUUAGCUGCACUUAAUGACAGAACAGAAGAUCACUGACGGUUCUGGAACAUCGUGACGUGUACAACACUCACAUUGCAUUCUGUUCCGUAACUCACCUCUGUACUCUCUGGGUUAAGCAGCUUUCUCAACACCUUAUUAUACAAGCCCAACUUUCUACUCCCAGGAGACAGCAGGGGCAGAAGCUGGAACAACAAACUACAAUAGACUCUGUUUCUGUGGUUGCAGCAAGAAGUGCCGAAUUAAUCAGAGAUGUAAUUCUGCCAGCUCACCUGCAGUCUGGAGGGGGGAAUGUUUUUCUUCCCGUGGCACGGGAUAUCCAUCACCUUGUCACGAUGAUUUCAAAGGUCACCCAGUCGACCAGGUGGGCGGGGUCAUCACUGUCACUCUGCCUUCCAUUGGACGGCUGGGCAGUGGUUUGAUUGAUGGAAAAGCCGAGGACCAGAGCUGCUUCUACUGCACAGAUUGAUGAAUGGUUUAUUUUUCUCACAAGGACACACAAGACGGAUUUGUUUGCAAAAUGGGCGGGGCUGUAUAAUUUCUGGACUCGUGUAAAAUGGAGGAUAUGUGUGCGUUUGAUUUCCUCCCCUUCAGUUUAAUUUCAGUACUUGGAUAAAUAUGUGUUCUGACAUUUUUCAUUUCUAGACUGAAAAAUAAAUGUCACAUUAGGCCUGAAUGGUUUAUACUGUGACUGGCAAUGUUCUCCUAUCUGUGCUCUCUACUCACGCUGUGACACAUAUUUUGGUUCUUUGUAUUUUGAAUGUGGGUGGAACAUCAUCAGGAUUUGUUCAGGAAUUGUUGAAUUGUCAGGUUGUUUUUGUGUUGCUGCAGAUUUGUAUUGGCGCCCCUCAACUGAAUUUACUGGAACAAUUAUCUGUAGAUUAUAAUAGAGAAGCACAUUUGCAAUUUUCUUGGCAGAUUCAGAUUUCUGUUUUUUUUUUUUUUUGUCUGACCUGCUGACUUCAAUUUUGGUUGAUUCUGAUUAUCUUCCUUUCUAAGAAAUUAAAUCAACAGCAUAAAGCAGGAUUUUCUGAAACUCUUUUUAAUGGAAAAUUAAAUGGUAUGUUUGUAGUAAAACAUAGAUUAAUAAAUAACUGAUAAAGAAGA